rnacentral:rRNA from 1 species
UUUUGUUGGAGAGUUUGAUCCUGGCUCAGGACGAACGCUGGCGGCGUGCUUAACACAUGCAAGUCGAGCGGUAAGGCCUUUCGGGGUACACGAGCGGCGAACGGGUGAGUAACACGUGGGCGACCUGCCCUCCACUCUGGGAUAAGCCCGGGAAACUGGGUCUAAUACCGGAUAUGACCUUCCCUCGCAUGGGGGUUGGUGGAAAGUUUUUCGGUGGGGGAUGGGCCCGCGGCCUAUCAGCUUGUUGGUGGGGUGAUGGCCCACCAAGGCGACGACGGGUAGCCGGCCUGAGAGGGCGACCGGCCACACUGGGACUGAGACACGGCCCAGACUCCU